AUGCAUUACUUUGAUCUUCUUAUAAGACUAAAAACCGAGCAAGAACAUCUGUUCCGGAACAUCCAGAGAAAUGAGUAUCACAAUCUUUUUGACUUCAUCAGUGGGAAGGGUCUGAAGAUUAUGAACCUGGGUGAUAUGCAAACCACAAAUGGAGUGGCUGCUCUCCAGAAUGAAGACGAUGAUGCUGUUGACCCACAUCUUGAGCGCAUUAGGAAUGAAGCUGGAGAUGAGAGUGAUGAAGAGGAUGAAGAUUUUGUUGCUGACAAGGAUGAUGAAGGCUCUCCUACUGAUGAUUCUGGGGAGGAAGAAUCUGAUGCUAGUGAAAGUGGAGAUGAGAAAAAGAAGCCUAUGAAAAAGGAAUCUAAAAAGGAGCCCUCAUCUUCUAAGGGUGCAUCGAAGAAGAGAUCCAAAGAGGGAAAUGAGGAUGCAUCUAAGAAGAAAAAACAAAAGAAGAAGAAGGAUCCAAA
rnacentral:misc_RNA from 1 species